UGGGGAAUAUUGGACAAUGGGGGAAACCCUGAUCCAGCAAUGCCGCGUGUGUGAAGAAGGCCUGAGGGUUGUCAAGCACUUUCAGUGGGGAGGAGGUACUUGAAGGUCAAGAGCUACUAAGUAUGGACGUUACCCACAGAAGAAGCACCGGCUAACUCCGUGCCAGCAGCCGCGGUAAUACGUAGGAGGCGAGCGUUGUCCGGAGUUACUGGGCGUAAAGGGUGCGCAGGCGGCGUCACGCGUGGCUAGAUGAAAUCUCCUGGCUUACCUGGGAGGAUGGUAGCCAGACGGUGGCGCUUGAGGGUCGCAGAGGGGCGUGGAAUUCCGGGUGGAGCGGUGAAAUGCGUAGAGAUCCGGAGGAACACCGACGGCGUAUGCAGCGCCCUGGACGACACCUGACGCUGAGGCACGAAAGCUGGGGGAGCGAAC
rnacentral:rRNA from 1 species